UACGUAGGGGGCAAGCGUUGUCCGGAAUCAUUGGGCGUAAAGCGCGCGUAGGCGGCCCGGUAAGUCCGCUCUGAAAGUCCAGGGCUUAACCCUGGAAAGCGGGUGGAUACUGCCGGGCUUGAAUCCGGAAGAGGCGAGUGGAAUUCCUGGUGUAGCGGUGGAAUGCGCAGAUAUCAGGAGGAACACCAAUAGCGAAGGCAGCUCGCUGGGACGUGACUGACGCUGAGACGCGAAAGCGUGGGGAGCAAACAGG
rnacentral:rRNA from 1 species